AAAUGUAGUAGACUAUAAGUAUACCUGUACCUGUAUGUAUACUAAGUACACUACGUUUAC
rnacentral:pre_miRNA from 1 species